CCGCCGCCGGCCGCGCGCAGGCGCAGUGGGGCGCGGAGCCGCCUCAGGCGGCCAAAGGGCGCGGGCGGGUUCGGGGCCGGGGCUCUCCGGCGGGUUCGGGACCGGGGCCGGGGCUCUCCGGUGAGGAGCCGCGGCUCCCGGCGUCAAUCCCGAGCCGCCGUUUCGUUCCCGCAGCUCCCCCGGGCUCGCAGCCGGGCCGGGGAGUGACCCCGGGGCGCUCCCGGCGCGGCGCUGAAUUCCCGCAGCAGUCCGCGUUUUCCCGGGGCUCCUCUGAACGCGGGGUGCCCGGUAAAUGCGCCCUUCAGGAAUGAAGAAAUUCUAUGCCUCGAUAGGAUCUUCAAAAAAAUAAUGAGACACUGGGACAUUCUCAUUGCAUAUACAGGAAUGCCAGAUGCCUCUGAAAUUUGGAGCCGACUUCAGUAGUAGAUUGAAUAAAUUAUUUUAAUGCUGUC